CCGAGUUUGCAACUCCCAAACCCCUGUGAACAUACCACUUGUUGCCUCGGCGGAUCAGCCCGCUCCCGGUAAAACGGGACGGCCCGCCAGAGGACCCCUAAACUCUGUUUCUAUAUGUAACUUCUGAGUAAAACCAUAAAUAAAUCA
rnacentral:misc_RNA from 1 species